UUACGGCCAUAUUACAUUGAAACAUUGAUUCCCAUACAAUCAUCAAAGUUAAGCAACACUGAGCCUGGUCAAUACCUAGAUGGGUGACUGCUUGAGAAUACCAGGUGCUGUAAG